rnacentral:rRNA from 1 species
AGUGAACGCUGGCGGUAGGCCUAACACAUGCAAGUCGAACGGCAGCACAGUAAGAGCUUGCUCUUACGGGUGGCGAGUGGCGGACGGGUGAGGAAUACAUCGGAAUCUACUUUUUCGUGGGGGAUAACGUAGGGAAACUUACGCUAAUACCGCAUACGACCUACGGGUGAAAGCAUGGGAUCUUCGGACCUUGCGCGAUUGAAUGAGCCGAUGUCGGAUUAGCUAGUUGGCGGGGUAAAGUCCCACCAAGGCGACGAUCCGUAGCUGGUCUGAGAGGAUGAUCAGCCACAGUGGAACUGAGACACGGUCCAGACUCCGACGGGAGGCAGCAGUGGGGAAUAUUGGACAAUGGGCGCAAGCCUGAUCCAGCCAUACCGCGUGGGUGAAGAAGGCCUUCGGGUUGUAAAGCCCUUUUGUUGGGAAAGAAAAGCAGCAGGUUAAUACCCCGCUGUUCUGACGGUACCCAAAGAAUAAGCACCGGCUAACUUCGUG